GUGUGGCUCAGUGUUAGAGCACUUGUCUAACAUGCAUCAGACCCUGGGUUCAAUUUCUAGCAC
rnacentral:tRNA from 1 species